UACGAAGGGGGCUAGCGUUGCUCGGAAUCACUGGGCGUAAAGGGUGCGUAGGCGGGUCUUUAAGUCAGGGGUGAAAUCCUGGAGCUCAACUCCAGAACUGCCUUUGAUACUGAAGAUCUUGAGUUCGGGAGAGGUGAGUGGAACUGCGAGUGUAGAGGUGAAAUUCGUAGAUAUUCGCAAGAACACCAGUGGCGAAGGCGGCUCACUGGCCCGAUACUGACGCUGAUGCACGAAAGAGUGGGGAGCAAACAGG
rnacentral:rRNA from 1 species